GGGACAUUCUCACCCACCCUCGCUCUCCUGCUCCCUCCGCCCCCCUCACCACGCCUUCACCUCCAUUUCUCACUCCCUCUCCCUCCCUGCUACAACCAACAUCUCACCUCAAAAUCACUCCAUUGCUCCCCGCCUCCCACAAACGCCAUACCCGCACCAUCGUACAACACUCGCUGGAAGCAGAAGCAGAACAAGCAGAAGAAUAAAGGAACAACCCACCAAACAAACACGCAAAUCAAUCAAUCGUUAAAUAAAGAAUGCUUUUUUCAAACCUUGCACUUGUUCACUCUUACAAAUCCACUUUUGGAACAAAGCAAAAAGGCUCUCAAUUCCAAAUGCCAUCCCAUCCAACACAUCCAUGCCCCUAGACUCAAACAUUUUCAACCCCCCUACCUAUUUCAACGUUACAUCAUGUCAAUUCUCAUGCUAUUCCACAGUUCUUGCACUGCGGCCUUCACAUCUGCACUCCACAACCUACCCUUGCACUUACAUUUUUUUUUAAUUUUUUUUAAUUUAUUAUAUAUAUAUAUUAUUUUAUUUAUCAUUAUUAUAAUCCAUGUCUGAAAAUUAAAAAAAAACAUAUACCAAUAGGCAAAUCAACAAAAUAAGCAAUAUCUCCCAUGAUUGUUUUUUUUUUUUUUUUUUUUUUUUUUUUUUGUUUCGUUUAGGGUAUAGGGCUGUUUUCCCUAUUAAUUGUAUGUACGUAUGUAUGUAUACACACUGUUAUGACACUCACUCACAUGAAUACACCCUAGGUAACAAAAUGCCACGUUUUCCCAUGUUUUGGGAUAUUUUGUUUGACCAUGAGUAGUAGCACCGGUAGAGCCCCCGUACCCUUUACAGUCUUGAAACGAAGAAAAUCACGGUAUUCAGCAUGGUUGAUUUGGUGUUGUGUGGUUGCAAAAUGCAAGAGAGCCUGGGGACGAUGGUGAUUCGGAGGGCGGGGGCUUUGAUUUGGUGGUGUGGCGAGUGUGAUGAUAUGUCGAAGUGGCAGUGUGAAUGGGUAAAUGCCCCAUAGUGUGUGCAGGCGGGAGGGCGGAGGUGGGGGUAGAAGAGGGGCGGGGCGGGAGGGGAGGGGCAUACCUUUCUCGGCCUUUUGGCUAAGAUCAAGUGUAGUAUCUGUUCUUAUCAGUUUAAUAUCUGAUACGAGGCUCAUCGAGCCUCACGAUAUUAAUCUAAUUUAUCUCGGGUGCGGGCCCAUCCGGCAGCUUGCUGCCCGGGCCAGCGCGCGUCGCCUUGGUCUUGCACUACCUCCUCGGCCGGCGCAGCCCAUUUCCCUCCGUUUCCCGGAGGGCCCCCCCCCUACAAUGCAAAGAGCGAAACUGGAAAGAGUGUGCGCGUGAGGGGACCCCCAACGUCGGCAGCGGGGCUGAGUGGAGGUGGCAACCAGUCGUGUCACGCUCCGCUGGUGCUGGUGCUGCUUGAUGCUUGAUCUGGAGGUGGAGGUGGAGGUGGAGUUGGAGUUGGAGUUGGACGCCACCUCAAAAGAAAACACAGACGGAGAAGAAGAAAAAGCAGCAGCAGAAGACGAAGAAAAACAAGAGGAAUGAAUAAUAAACACAAAAUGUCGAGAAAAAUGAAUAUAACCAAACUUGGUUACAUGUUUUUCAUGUUUUUUAUUUUUAUUUUUAUUUUUUCUUUCUGUGUUUGAUUUUAUUUGUUUUUGUUUUGUUUUGUUGUUCUUGUUGGGUUAUUGUUGUAUAAUUGUCUGAAAAAACUGUGGUCUUGAGUAUUGGUCGAAUUCUGUUCUGUGGUUUGUGGCGUAUGUUUGCUUGUUUAUUUAUUUAAAUUUAUUUUUCAGCAUUGCAGUUUCCGUUUCUUAUUUAUGAAAACUCGAUUUUGUUGUUUUGUUUAUUGUUGAUGUUGUUAUUAUUGUGUUUUUUGAAAUACACGUUUUCGUUCUUUAUCACAAAUGUUGCGCUGCUUAUUUCGAUGUACCAGUGUAUGCUUGUUAUCGAUUGAUUGACUGAUUGUUUUAUUGUGUUUUUGUUUUUGUUUUUGUUUUGUUUUGUUUGUUUGUUUUUAUUAUUUUAAUUUGUCUCUUUCUCUCAUAGCCUGCUGUCGUCGUUAUGGUCUUGAUGACGAUAACGAUGAUUAAUAGUUAUCUGUUUGUUUGAAAGAACAUAGCUUCAAAAUUCAAGAUAUCCCCUUCUCUCUUCACUCGCCUGUUUCUUAGAAUUGUGUUCAUCCAUUGAUUUGAGUGGAUUUGAGUGGUCAAUCUUAGGGGAGAUGGGGUGGUUUUGUGCAUCAAUGUUUUGAGGCAGGAACACACAUGGUUGACUCCAACAGCAACACACAGUGGUGGUGGGAAGUUGAGAGGGAUGCAGGAGGAUGCAGAUUGCACGUUGGGUUAGUGGGCGGAGAAGCGGCAGGGCAUGCGUCGGUCCCAUACGGUUGGGUGGAAGAAGGAGCAGGGCAUGCGUAGAAGAGCGUGGGUGAGAAGGCGGUGGAGGCAUGGGGCCGGGCGCUCAGCACAGAGCGAACUAUUCUUUCGCCUUUUACUAAAGAAUACCGUGCGCUGGGCGCAACGACCGGCAUAGCCAGAGUUUUUGGACUGCCCCGUUUGCGGGGCCCACCAAUUGGAAGCGCGAAACCGGAUUGUAUGGAGAACAGGGACAGGGCCUCCGUAUGACUUGUCUCCGUGGGUGGGUUGGAGAAGUGUGCCUCCUGCCACACCCGAGAGUGGGAGAGAAGCAGCGACUCGCGGUCCGCAGAGGGGCUGGCGCCGGGCCACACAUCAUCCGUCAGCACAGCAUGCCGCGCGAGAGAAAAGGGGCGCGCGCGUGUGCGUGUGUUUCAUCGAGUGCGUGCGUUUGCCGGGAGUCGAACCCGGGUCCAUUGCUUGGAAGGCAAUUAUCCUAACCGUUGGACUACAAACGCCCGGCGGCCGCGAACCGAGACCACGCACCACGGGCCCACGGCCGCGAACCGAGACCACGCACCACGGGCCCACGGCCGCUUCCACUCGCACGGCUGCGCGCUCACGGCGUCGUCUACCACCUGGCUCAUCUCGACGGGCCCUCCCGUUGGCGGCAUCUCGUGCACCGACUCAACACCGCAAAAAGUCCACGCCUCAGCGUCAAGAGAGAGGUGCACACUUACUUACUCGCGCUGAGUUUGCGCAUCCCUCCCCGUUCGGGCACCUCGCCGAACUCCGUCGGUCCUGCCGGCACCGAGUUGUGUCCCACCUGCACUCCGAGGCUCCGGGCAGUGCGCCAGCCACGGUCCCCUCCCCGACGCAACCACAAAUCCGAGGCGAGAGCGACACGACACAAGGCUGGCACACUUCGAGCCAUCCUGUUUGGGGUUUUGUGCGUUGUGAGGUCUCGGCCUACGCCAGACCUUCCAGAAAUUCUGGGGCGCCCUUGCGGGCACCGCAGGGGGGUUGGAAAUAGUUUUCAACCAGCAAUUGACGCGUCUCGGGUUUGCCUCACUAACUGCGUCAUUGCCCCAAGCGCAAAGAUACCGUCCUCCUUCCCGCCUCCCCCCGAAUGUACCUCCCUCGGGGGCUCGUCUCCUCCCAUCGCUAUGGGGCAAUCUGCCCCGACCCACCACCAAAUCGUCACCAGGCGCCGCUGCCGGGGGCGACACACCGUGCCGGCCAUCGCGUGCAUCCCUUUCGCCGCACCACCAGGCUGUGCGCUGGGCCGUGCCUCAGUCAGAGAUUGCGUUCUCAUCGGCACAGUCAGAGACCGGGGUCAAACGUGCACCUCGCAAAAAUCCAACGCCCAUCGCCCCCCUCCUCCCUCGCGCAGGGAGGAGGUAGUGGCCCGAUCCGACUCGGGUGUGUGAUCGCCGUUCUUCCCCCCCGUGCGGGAGCAACGCUCACUGCCACAGCAGCUGCCCCGAGUGUUCACUGGACCAUCGAUCGGGAGGGCGGCGCAAGACUUUUGUCCAGGCGCAGGUGCGCGUGGUGCGAAUGUAUGCAGCAGCCGGCAGGUAAUGCCGAUGUAUGCAGCAGACCUCAGAUAAUGCGGGGGGUUUCUGGGAACUCACGACCGACACACUACUUCCAAAUCAUGAACGCACCCGUACCCAGUUUCCUCCGGUUUCGGCUUCCACUUUAGGCGGGGGCCGCGCGAACGCGAGCCCCCACUGCCACAAAUUACGACGUGUAUGCCCUCCGUAGAGAGAUACUAGAGCCGCCCGCCCCGUCAGUGCAAUGGGCCGGGCUCCUCUAGGCCAUCCACCUUCCUGAUCAUGGAUCGACCCCGCCCAGGUAAGUGCCCACUCCAGCGCUCCUCCGCACCCUUCUACCACCCACCCAUACCUCGCCGCUCCAACCCGUGUGGGACAUUCUCACCCACCCUCGCUCUCCUGCUCCCUCCGCCCCCCUCACCACGCCUUCACCUCCAUUUCUCACUCCCUCUCCCUCCCUGCUACAACCAACAUCUCACCUCAAAAUCACUCCAUUGCUCCCCGCCUCCCACAAACGCCAUACCCGCACCAUCGUACAACACUCGCUGGAAGCAGAAGCAGAACAAGCAGAAGAAUAAAGGAACAACCCACCAAACAAACACGCAAAUCAAUCAAUCGUUAAAUAAAGAAUGCUUUUUUCAAACCUUGCACUUGUUCACUCUUACAAAUCCACUUUUGGAACAAAGCAAAAAGGCUCUCAAUUCCAAAUGCCAUCCCAUCCAACACAUCCAUGCCCCUAGACUCAAACAUUUUCAACCCCCCUACCUAUUUCAACGUUACAUCAUGUCAAUUCUCAUGCUAUUCCACAGUUCUUGCACUGCGGCCUUCACAUCUGCACUCCACAACCUACCCUUGCACUUACAUUUUUUUUUAAUUUUUUUUAAUUUAUUAUAUAUAUAUAUUAUUUUAUUUAUCAUUAUUAUAAUCCAUGUCUGAAAAUUAAAAAAAAACAUAUACCAAUAGGCAAAUCAACAAAAUAAGCAAU
rnacentral:lncRNA from 1 species